rnacentral:rRNA from 1 species
CCUACGGGUGGCAGCAGUCGAGAAUCAUUCACAAUGGGGGAAACCCUGAUGGUGCGACGCCGCGUGGGGGAAUGAAGGUCUUCGGAUUGUAAACCCCUGUCAUGUGGGAGCAAAUUAAAAAGAUAGUACCACAAGAGGAAGAGACGGCUAACUCUGUGCCAGCAGCCGCGGUAAUACAGAGGUCUCAAGCGUUGUUCGGAAUCACUGGGCGUAAAGCGUGCGUAGGCUGUUUCGUAAGUCGUGUGUGAACGGUGCGGGCUCAACCCGCGGACGGCACAUGAUACUGCGAGACUAGAGUAAUGGAGGGGGAACCGGAAUUCUCGGUGUAGCAGUGAAAUGCGUAGAUAUCGAGAGGAACACUCGUGGCGAAGGCGGGUUCCUGGACAUUAACUGACGCUGAGGCACGAAGGCCAGGGGAGCGAAAGGGAUUAGAUACCCGUGUAGUC